GGCACCUCCAUAGCGGUGCAAACGCGGGCACGGCGAGCCCAGCGCCCCGCAGGCACCGGGAUUAACGCUGAUGGAAGGGGCCAGAGGGGAGGAAAGCUUCUUGCAAGAGCCAGGCUGUGGAACCAGCACUGAAGGCACUGGAAACGCUGCAGAUGCCCCAUCACAGACCCAACACUCCUCUCACGUUGAAUCCUGAGCUCUCCCAUGGUGGACGUGAGGGGAACAAGAAAGGCAGCUCCAUGUUCCUGAAGCAGGGACUUCCCCUGGUUUCUGUUCCUGCAGCCUGCUGGGAGGAGAAGGACUCAGUCAGCACUUCCAGGUGGCAGGGAGGACACAGAGGACACACAGAGCCCUUUGGCAGCAGCUCUGUGGGCCAAGCACGGCUCUGAUUUCUGCACAGUCACCUCAGCUUGGCCAGCUCAGGGCACUGAGCUGGGCUCUGCCAGCCCUCCUGGAUCAUCCAGGAGCUCCCUGCCCAGGGCACCUCAGCCAUGCACCCCCAGGGGCUCCUUCCCAGCUCUAAUGCCUGAGGACCUCCAUCUUCCCAUGCCUCUGCCCCUCCAGGACAGCCUUUUCCCUCCAGAGCUCCAGCCCUGGGGUCUGCAGCCAGAAAUCCCUGCCCUGGGCCAUGGCAGCACCUGCUUGUGCUGGGCCCUGGUUCCCAGUGGGGGAAGAAGCCCAGCAUUGGUGUCAGUGCUCUGCAGAGCCAGUCACAGCCUGGGUUCCUGCAGGAGGGAACCAGGAGGGAAGCAGGAAUGGAAUAAAGGACUGAGGAGUGGGGAUGGA